UGGGGAAUCUUGCGCAAUGGGCGAAAGCCUGACGCAGCCAUGCCGCGUGGAUGAUGAAGGUCUUAGGAUUGUAAAAUCCUUUCACCGGGGACGAUAAUGACGGUACCUGGAGAAGAAGCCCCGGCUAACUUCGUG
rnacentral:rRNA from 1 species